UACGUAGGGUGCAAGCGUUGUCCGGAAUUAUUGGGCGUAAAGAGCUCGUAGGCGGUCUGUCACGUCGGCUGUGAAAACCCGGGGCUCAACCCCCGGGCCUGCAGUCGAUACGGGCAGACUAGAGUGCGGUAGGGGAGACUGGAAUUCCUGGUGAGCGGUGAAAUGCGCAGAUAUCAGGAGGAACACCGGUGGCGAAGGCGGGUCUCUGGGCCGUAACUGACGCUGAGGAGCGAAAGCGUGGGGAGCGAACAGG
rnacentral:rRNA from 1 species